ACGAACGCUGGCGGCGUGCUUAACACAUGCAAGUCGAACGGAAAGGCCCUGCUUUUGUGGGGUGCUCGAGUGGCGAACGGGGGAGUAACACGUGAGUAACCUGCCCUUGACUUUGGGAUAACUUCAGGAAACUGGGGCUAAUACCGGAUAGGAGCUCCUGCUGCAUGGUGGGGGUUGGAAAGUUUCGGCGGUUGGGGAUGGACUCGCGGCUUAUCAGCUUGUUGGUGGGGUAGUGGCUUACCAAGGCUUUGACGGGUAGCCGGCCUGAGAGGGUGACCGGCCACAUUGGGACUGCGAUACGGCCCAGACUCCUACGGGAGGCAGCAGUGGGGAAUAUUGCACAAUGGGCGGAAGCCUGAUGCAGCAACGCCGCGUGCGGGAUGACGGCCUUCGGGUUGUAAACCGCUUUCGCCUGUGACGAAGCGUGAGUGACGGUAAUGGGUAAAGAAGCACCGGCUAACUACGUG
rnacentral:rRNA from 1 species